rnacentral:rRNA from 1 species
GAACUUAAGCAUAUCAAUAAGCGGAGGAAAAGAAACCAACAGGGAUUGCCUCAGUAACGGCGAGUGAAGCGGCAACAGCUCAAAUUUGAAAUCUGGCUCACGCCCGAGUUGUAAUUUGUAGAGGAUGUUUCGGGUGAAGCCGCGGUCCAAGUCCCUUGGAACAGGACGUCAUAGAGGGUGAGAACCCCGUACCUGGCCGCCGGUGCCCCCCGCUGUGAAACUCCUUCGACGAGUCGAGUUGUUUGGGAAUGCAGCUCUAAAUUGGUGGUAAAUUCCAUCUAAAGCUAAAUACCGGCCAGAGACCGAUAGCGCACAAGUAGAGUGAUCGAAAGAUGAAAAGCACUUUGAAAAGAGAGUUAAAAAGUACGUGAAAUUGUUGAAAGGGAAGCGCUUGCGGCCAGACUUGCCCGCGGUUGCUCAGCCCGCCUUUUGGCGGGUGCACUCUUCCGCGGCCAGGCCAGCAUCGGUUUGGGCGGUCGGAUAAAGGCGCUGGGAACGUGGCCUCCCCUCGGGGAGGUGUUAUAGCCCGGCGCGCAAUGCGACCAGCCCGGACCGAGGUUCGCGCUUUGCUAGGAUGCUGGCGUAAUGGCCGUAAGCGGCCCGUCUUGAAACACGGACCAAGGAGUCUAACAUCUAUGCGAGUGUUUGGGUGUCAAACCCGUGCGCGUAAUGAAAGUGAACGGAGGUGGGAACCGCAAGGUGCACCAUCGACCGAUCCUGAUGUCUUCGGAAGGAUUUGAGUAAGAGCAUGGCUGUUGGGACCCGAAA